AAAUUGAAGAGUUUGAUCAUGGCUCAGAUUGAACGCUGGCGGCAGGCCUAACACAUGCAAGUCGAACGGUAACAGGAAGCAGCUUGCUGCUUUGCUGACGAGUGGCGGACGGGUGAGUAAUGUCUGGGAAACUGCCUGAUGGAGGGGGAUAACUACUGGAAACGGUGGCUAAUACCGCAUAACGUCGCAAGACCAAAGAGGGGGACCUUCGGGCCUCUUGCCAUCAGAUGUGCCCAGAUGGGAUUAGCUAGUUGGUGAGGUAACGGCUCACCAAGGCGACGAUCCCUAGCUGGUCUGAGAGGAUGACCAGCCACACUGGAACUGAGACACGGUCCAGACUCCUAAGGGAGGCAGCAGUGGGGAAUAUUGCACAAUGGGCGCAAGCCUGAUGCAGCCAUGCCGCGUGUAUGAAGAAGGCCUUAGGGUUGUAAAGUACUUUCAGCGGGGAGGAAGGUGUUGCGGUUAAUAACCGCAGCAAUUGACGUUACCCGCAGAAGAAGCACCGGCUAACUCCGUGCCAGCAGCCGCGGUAAUACGGAGGGUGCAAGCGUUAAUCGGAAUUACUGGGCGUAAAGCGCACGCAGGCGGUCUGUCAAGUCGGAUGUGAAAUCCCCGGGCUCAACCUGGGAACUGCAUUCGAAACUGGCAGGCUUGAGUCUUGUAGAGGGGGGUAGAAUUCCAGGUGUAGCGGUGAAAUGCGUAGAGAUCUGGAGGAAUACCGGUGGCGAAGGCGGCCCCCUGGACAAAGACUGACGCUCAGGUGCGAAAGCGUGGGGAGCAAACAGGAUUAGAUACCCUGGUAGUCCACGCCGUAAACGAUGUCUACUUGGAGGUUGUGCCCUUGAGGCGUGGCUUCCGGAGCUAACGCGUUAAGUAGACCGCCUGGGGAGUACGGCCGCAAGGUUAAAACUCAAAUGAAUUGACGGGGGCCCGCACAAGCGGUGGAGCAUGUGGUUUAAUUCGAUGCAACGCGAAGAACCUUACCUGGUCUUGACAUCC
rnacentral:rRNA from 1 species